rnacentral:rRNA from 1 species
GACGAACGCUGGCGGCGUGCUUAACACAUGCGAGUCGAACGGAAAGGCCCUGCUUGCAGGGUACUCGAGUGGCGAACGGGUGAGUAACACGUGGGUGAUCUGCCCUGCACUUCGGGAUAAGCCUGGGAAACUGGGUCUAAUACCGGAUAGGAGCCAUUUUUAGUGUGAUGGUUGGAAAGUUUUUUCGGUGUAGGAUGAGCUCGCGGCCUAUCAGCUUGUUGGUGGGGUAAUGGCCUACCAAGGCGGCGACGGGUAGCCGGCCUGAGAGGGUGGACGGCCACAUUGGGACUGAGAUACGGCCCAGACUCCUACGGGAGGCAGCAGUGGGGAAUAUUGCACAAUGGGCGCAAGCCUGAUGCAGCGACGCCGCGUGGGGGAUGACGGCCUUUGGGUUGUAAACUCCUUUCGCUAGGGACGAAGCUUUUUGUGACGGUACCUAGAUAAGAAGCACCGGCUAACUACGUG